UGCUAUAUUUCCAGAGCACUAAGGUCCGGGAAUAAUACAGUCUGGAAGUUUUCUAUGCAACUGCCAGUCCAUGGCACCGGAUGACAUCGGCUUGGGAAUUUUACUUAUCAUCCUCGCUGCUUUUGCUACUGCGAUUAAACGACCUAAAACACCAAAACUAUUCGGGGCCUUGUGUAACACAACUAGAGAGUGCAACAUCGGACAGAAGCUGGCGUGCCUUAUAAUACCCAAAGGGAAGCUGAUAGAGUGCAUACCGUGCUAUGAAAGCUGUGAAACGUAUUGGGUAUACUAUUGCAAAAGGCCUUACGUACCCAUCUGCAAGAAUGAGCCCACUGAAUGCAAAUGCUGUUGUGGAAGAAAAUCAGGAUGGUUAUCAAGAAUUCUCAGAAUGUGCUUCUAGGUGGCUUGGUGCCUAAACAAUAGGCACUUGGGGCGUAGGGUAUGGGGAGUCGAGAACAUAUUUUAUAACAAUUUUCUGGAGCCAUUGGAAUCGGUGCGCCAGCCCAGCAGCAUCUUUCUUGGAGGCUGUACUAUGGCAUUUGCUGGGCCACAAAGCAUUCACAAAGACAAUUUUCAGCGAGUAUGGAGCUUUCUGUCAAGCGAAAAAUCUCUCAAGCUAGCAAUAUGUGCUAA
rnacentral:lncRNA from 1 species